rnacentral:misc_RNA from 1 species
GGACGGCGACUUUAGUAUACAGGUUCGCUUCCCUUUUUAAUUCCAAUGUUUCCCAUUUUAUAUAUUUUUUUUGUGCUUUAUUCUGUUUCUGGAUAAAUUGGAAAGAAAGGACGGGAAAUUUGGAAAGAACGGAAAGGAAAAUUUGUGGAUUUGGGGAGUUAUGAUUACAUGGUUGGAUGAAUAUUGAUUAAUUUGAUGGAUGAUCAGAACCAAUUUGAAUUUGAAAUUAUCCUUAACUUCUACCUAUAUUUGUGUCUGUUAUUAAAUGCCUACCACUUUUUUGCCCCCUUAACUUGUGUUAUAUCUGGGUAGGAUGGUAUUAUAAUAGUUUUUAAGAGUGUUUAUGCUUUUAUGUUUUCUAUUUAAUUGUUCUCUACUUCUAGUUAUGGGUGGAUAAUCAAAUUUGCUUCUUUUACUUCCUUGUGCUCUUUUUAGUUGCUGAGAAUAGGGGGAACUAAAAGAAAAAGGAAUUAUGGAAUUUGAAUGUCUUACAUUUUCUUCGUUGCUUGCCAAUCUGAAAUAACGGAUGAGUGUAUCAAAUCAUCCAGGUCAAGUCAUUGAUAGAGCAUAAUUAGAUUUUUGGUAACUGGUAAUUACAUGAUGGAAGGAAUCAUAUAAAUCCUUUCGUGCAUUGAUUGGAUAGGUUAUUUUACAUUUUUAUGCUGUGAAAGCUAGGAAUGAGAAAGAACUCUAAUGUUAAAUGAUGUUUUCCUAUACUUUGAUCUAAAAGUCGGUUCAAAUGAUCUCAUGUUGAGGACAGAUUUGAAUAGCUCAAAAUAAAUGGAGACACUUUGUAUUUAGAAAUUAUUUUCUCUAUUUCUUCAGUUAGACUCAGUAAAUUUAUUCCAAUUGUCACAUGUUUAGUUGGUUGGGUGGAAGAAGAAUAGAGGUAAGAUUAAGAAGGGGUGCAAAGAAUAUGGAGGCGAACAUUACACAAUCGACAAUGAAUGUGUGGCUUGGGGUGGGGGAAGAAGAUAGGCCAAAUACAUACCAGGUACCUGUGAACUAAGUUUUGGACCUAUUAGACACCUGAACUUAAAAAGAACUUAAACACAAAAUUUGCACAGUAAAAUAUGUGAAAUACACACGUGAUGAUGUGUACAAAGACUGCCAAAUAGCUAAAAUGUUUUUUGACGUGGCACUCAAGCUUCCUCUUCCCAUAUCUCUUCUUCUUCUCAUAGAAAUCCAUGAAGCAAUAAAUGGUGCCCUUUGAGCUUCAAAAUAGUUAACACAUAAAUAUCAAGAUUUUAAGAUCAUUAUGGGAAGUUCUUAAAACCCAUUAAAAAAAGCAUAAAGUGAAAGUGUGUAUAAUAAUACCUAGAAACAAAGAAAAACAAUAAAUUGAUAGGUUUAUUAAACCUUUUCUUUUUUGACAAUGCUGAAAUGAUUUCUCAUAUUUUUCUUGAAAUUAAUUAGUUGACUUAUACACCGUAUCCAUAUGACAAGAUGAUGAUCGAAAAAAAAGUUUCAACUCAGCUGAUCAUUAAGCAAAGAAAAGCACGAGCAGUAGCAUUGCAUGGUCAAAAUUUUUAUUUGAAAAAACACUAAAUUGUUAGCUUGGCUGAUAUGGAAGCAUUUGGAGGCAAUCCUAUGCUUGGGGUUUUCUGCUUGAAGUUGCUGCACAUUAAGGGCUUGAACCAAAACCCUUAAAGUUACAAGGUCAUGACUUCUAGCACUGCUUCAUUAGCACCCCUUGUGACAAAUAAGUUGAAGCAGUAUUCACAGCACCAUUCCACAUGUUAGUAGACUUUGACAGUUUUAAUAGUCAACUUGGAGGAAAUUCCCAUACUCUGUGUCAGAUAGUGUCUUAUCCAGCACCUGUGUCUACUCUUCUCUGUUUUACUCCAUUUUAGAGAUUCAAAGCAGAGGAUAGAGAUAAGAAGUUAAGUCAUGGGAUAUAAAUUACAAUGCACAUGCAUUAUUUUGAUAAAAUGACAUAGGAUACCCACAAGGAUAGAAGUCAUGAUCUUCUCCCAAAAAAUCUUGAUCACCAGCCAUUAUCACUAAA